ensembl:lncRNA
AAAGUUUCUGAAAGAGCAAAAAGAAUAAAAAAGACACAAAGGUAGAAGCACAUCGCAAUGCUUGCAGACAUCUUGUACAGUCUGUGCAGUGAUGAAACUAUACUGGAAUUUCUGCCUAACAAAAGAUCACCAUCUUCAGGACUUCAGCACAAGACAACUAAAAACCAGAUGAGGUCAUUCCUUUAUCUAUCUGCAAACCCUGUUAGUUUAGAAUCAAUAUGUGACAAAAGCACAGAAGCAUCAGUCUGAUCAGACUCUGCAUUCCUUUAUACCAUACCAUUGUACUGAAUCACGCUCAAAGAAACAUGUCUACAUUGGUUUCAGCCAUUAUUUUGGUAAAAAACCAACCAAACAAACAAACAAGAAAGGCAUAAUGAAGAGUUGACUACAAUAAUAACAAAUAAUAGUACUGAGCAAUAUAAACUCUCUCAUAUAAACUCUCACAUGUGCUGUAAAAAGAUAUAUUUACUCAGUUUUAGCAGAAUUAUCGCUUAUCCUCAUGUAUUUAUUUAACUUUCUCAAAUUAAACUUGGAAGAAUGAGGAUAAUACCAAAAUUCCUUUUUGUAAUAAUUUGGUUAUAAUCUGUAAGAGUGAAGGACCAGGACUGAUUUUGGAGACCACAUCUGUGAAGUCUUGAGUUUAGUCGCAAAAGAUCUAAAAAGCAUAUUGAAGGAUGAAAAUUCAGAGUACUUAUGUGUAUGAAUGAACCUUUCAAGUUCAAGACACUUUAAUUUUCAUGGAGACAUGCAUGAAAUAAUCAAACAAAGGCUAUGUUUUAGAAAUUCUAAAAUAAGUUGUAUCUUUAGUUAUCAAACUAAGUACUACUUCUGUACAGCUUUAAUAAUAGUGGGGAUGUAAUUAAUAAUCACAAUGAAGUGAUACCAAAAGAUACCAUUGUUAAACCACAGAAAGUCAUGUUUCAAUGAUAAGUGCAAUGUUUAAUAAAAGAGAUCCUCAGUUAUGUAUAAACUCAGAAAUCUUGCCGUUUUAAUGGAGAAAUACAGAAUACUACCUGCUGACUAUUAAAAGCAGUUCCCUAGGGCAAUCCAAAACUAAAUGUUUUUGUGCAACACUUCAUAGUCAGAACUUGACUGUACGUGAAAAUAGGCCUCAGGGCAGUAACACACUUCACCAAAUUUCCCUCAGUGAAUGCAGGCUGGAUUUGUUCUUUCUGACAUACAGAUAAAACAGAAUGAUUACUUCUCUAUUCAGAACAGAAGCAAUGUAUUGGUUUUGGUUUUUAAAGAUGCACUGAAGACACUGAGGUUGUUUUUUUAUAAAUGGUCACUUAAUGUCAGCAUUGGUAACCUUAUCUCAAAUGAUCUCUGUUUAGAGCUAACAAUAGAAAAGGAAAACUUGACAGAAGUAAUGUUUGUUGAGUGGUAUGCAAAGAAAUGCAGAUCUUUGUUGUUCUUCCCCAACAGUCAGCUACAAAAAUAAGUCUGAUGAAACUGCACUAGAUCCAGGAGCAUCAUACAUAUUAAUCAUACUGAAUCAAUAAGGACCUAAUCCUGCUUUCCUUUAAGUAAAUGGUAAAGCUUCUUGAUUUCAGUCAUAGCUCAGUGUUGGUUUCCUAAAUACAACAAAGUGAAAGGGCUUUGAAAAUGAAGAAGAAAUAUAGUGCAUGUCUCAUUCAAAAAACUAAGAAGUUAUUUACCAACAGUAUGCAUAAAUGAGCUUAUAAAAUGUCAACAAGAAAGAAGGAGAACUGUAUAUCUGUGGCAAAAUACAUGAACAAAUUACACCUCUAUUAAAAUAAAGAGAUUUUGUGGGUGGG